GAUGAACGCUGGCGGCGUGCUUAACACAUGCAAGUCGAACGGAAAGGCCCAAGCUUGCUUGGGUACUCGAGUGGCGAACGGGUGAGUAACACGUGGGUGAUCUGACCUGCACUUCGGGAUAAGCCUGGGAAACUGGGUCUAAUACCGGAUAGGACCACUUCUUGGAUGCUGUGGUGGAAAGCUUUUUCGGUGUGGGAUGAGUUCGCGGCCUAUCAGCUUGUUGGUGGGGUAAUGGCCUACUAAGGCGUCGACGGGUAGCCGGCCUGAGAGGGUGUACGGCCACAGUGACACUGAGAUACAGCCCAGACUCCUACGGGAAGCAGCAGUAGGGGAGAUUGCACAAGGAGCGCAGACCUGAUGCAGCGACGCCGCGGGGGGGAGGACGGCCUUCGGGUUGUAAACGCCUUUCGCUAUUGACGAAGCGUUUUGUGACGGUACCUGAGGAAGAAGCACCGGCUAACUACGUG
rnacentral:rRNA from 1 species